UGGAGAACUGUACUUCUUUGUGUUCCGUGCUGCAUGCUGUUCAGAUCUGGACUCAAGGCCUGGCCAGCUGCGAGGAGUGGGCUCAGAAAAAGCGACCCUUUAGUUUGUGUCCAGCUACCGCCACCCAAAAGGGUAAAAAAAAAA